AUGGACUCCCCGACCCCGCGUUUCCCAUCCCGGAGGAAAAUAAACUGUUGCUGCAACGCGUGCUCGCCCCUCAGGGACGAGUCAGGACGGGAGGCUGUUGGCUGUCACAGCUGCGAGUGUGUGUCACAGCAACAUCCACCGGGCUGGGAGCUUGAGGGGAAGAAAAACAAGCUUUACAAACUGAUGUACUCCAUAAACGGAGCUCGCCUUCCCCGCGGGAGUGGCAGGCGACCGCCAGAAGGACGGGGCUCGUUCGGUGCCAUUGGCGGAUUGCGGGUGGGGUGCGAAGCACCCGCCGCCAGGCCCCUCAGGGGGCAGCGGGUAGGGGAGGCGGCGGGGCCCGCUGGCCUUUGGAAGGCUCCUUCUCCUGCGGCACCGUCCUCUUUCUUCUCUCUAUUCAGGCGAAGGAGUGGGUGGUUCGUCCGGCAGCAACAGGAGGAGGCUAGUCAAGGGCAGCUGUCAAAAUCUCCCUCCCCCGCCCCCUUUUUCUUCCAGUUUAAUGAUCAAACGUCUGCCUGGAAGAAAGGCGAGGGAGCGGGAGGCACGGAGCGGUCUUGUGUGUGCAUGAGCAAGCGGGUACGUUGUUCCCCCCCGCCCCGGCCCGUCCCUCCCCUGCCGUCUGACAGAGCCACAGCAGCCCGGGAGGGGAGGAGAAAGGAGGAGGAGGAGGAGGCAGUAGCCGCGAGUGCCAGUGCAGCGCUCGGUUACUCUCCCGUACUCGCUGCAGGAGGAGGGGGAGGGCGGGCGCUGUGUACCUUUUCCUCCCGUGCCUUUCCUCACUUUAACAAACCGGGGCCAAUAGCCAGCAGAAGGGAACAAAGGGACGGGGGGAGGAAAGCCCACCCCGGCAACGGCCGCACCAGAAAACCCCCGGGGAGGCAGAGCCCUGAGGCUCCGGGUGACAGCAGCGCGGCCCCGGACUGGGCGCCUGGUUACGCUGCGGUGUUUCUUCUUUCUUCGUUGUCAUCUUUCUCCUCUUCUGUGCCGAGUUUAAAGGGGGAGCGGAGUCCGGCGAAGGGAGAGAAACUUGGGUCGGUGUGCGAGGUGUCCGGCGGUCCUCGUGAUCAAGAUGAAAAGUAA
rnacentral:lncRNA from 14 species